GUAGGUGGCAAGCGUUGUCCGGAAUUAUUGGGCGUAAAGCGCGCGCAGGCGGUUCUUUAAGUCUGAUGUGAAAGCCCACGGCUCAACCGUGGAGGGUCAUUGGAAACUGGAGAACUUGAGUACAGAAGAGGAAAGCGGAAUUCCACGUGUAGCGGUGAAAUGCGUAGAGAUGUGGAGGAACACCAGUGGCGAAGGCGGCUUUCUGGUCUGUAACUGACGCUGAGGCGCGAAAGCGUGGGAGCAAACAGGGAUUAGAUACCCUGGUAGUCCACGCCGUAAACGAUGAGUGCUAAGUGUUAGGGGGGUUUCCGCCCCCUUAGUGCUGCAGCUAACGCAUUAAGCACUCCGCCUGGGGAUACGGCCGCAAGGCUG
rnacentral:rRNA from 1 species